GAACGAUGAGCGCUCGGGUAAUUGGAUGGGUACCCCGUUAUUUGAGAGGACGUUUGCGUGGAUCAGGGAUCCGAGGUCCCCGGAGGGAUAGUGGCACUCGGGUAGGCUUCGAUCACGCUGUACCCGAGAUUCAAGUUCCGUGACCUAUACUUUUCUCGAACGUACUGGUUAUUUCGCACGUUCUAUCGUUUGCCAAGUGCCUGCCUUGCUGCACCCGCUCUAGCACCUGUUCCGCUGGUGUGGUUGCGUCACGGAGACAGAGCGGACAUCGCAUAGCGUUGGGGGCAUCGGUUCGAGGUACGGUUCACUGGUCCCAGAUUCGGGACGCACUGGCUUUAUGGGAGCGUGGGAACUGCCCAGGCAGACGCACGGCCUGCGAGAGCGCAAGGCGACCUGCUGGGAGACCACUGCAAGCAAAACGACGCCCAGACGCAUCGCAACCGCUCCUAGUCUCAGGAUGGACUGCGUUCCGGGCGAGCUGCUGAGGUCUCGCCUCUGCACCCGGCAGUACAACGGUGCACAGAGUGCAAGCCCGGUAGACUCGUCCUGGUCGUGGGGCCUUCCGCUUAGAAGGCAAACUUUCACAACAAACGAGAGAACUUCCACCUUUCAACGCGUAACGUGAAUCUGGAAAGAAACUGUUGCCGAGUUGGUCGUUCGUUGUUCGUUUCUGGGCUUUAUCGUUGCUGCGGUUUGACGCGCAACCGGCAUGGGAUAGCUGCGAUGGUGCAGUUGCAGGUGCGGUGCACUCGCCCGACACCCUAGGCAAGUGAACGCGUAGCAUUGUGAGGAUCUCUCCGUCCAAGCCUUGAGAUUUGUUUUCGAAUAUUUGUUAGAUGUAUAUUACUGACAUUAUGAGUGCGGUGAGAAGAGCUUAUGGAUUCAUGCGUAGUUUAAGGACUCUGGAUCGUGGUUUCGGAGUGGAUGUCUCAGCUCGGUGCCGUUGGAAUGCUUCCUAGAACCGGAAUCAACAUGAUUCAUGACGGAAACGAAAAAGGGCCCCUACAUAAUCGAUAUGAGUAUCCAUUUCAUAUAGACAAGGCUUGGCGCUUCUCCUUUUGCUCGUGUGUAGCAUGCUCAAGUUACGCUGGCUUCGCACUUCCCAUUUUUCUAUGUCAGAGCGACUCGUGGGCGUAGCGAUUCGCGCUCUUGGGCUAAUAUGGAACAAAACCAGAAGGCUUCGGUGGACGGCUCGUUCCAAAGCUCAUGCCGAUCGUCUACUCAGCUCGCGACGUCAAAUAAUCGAUUUCCCUCGGAAAAACAUAUCCUUAUCUCUUGGUGGCCAUUGUUAGAAUCGAAUUCGUUACCAGCGUGAUAAUUUUCGCGGGAUGUGCGCCUAGAGGUUCCGGCCUCUUCUGUUUGUAUGGAAAAGCGUCUCGGGUUUGGUCGACAGUUAUCUGAGCGCUCGCGUCCGGGAGAGAGCGCUUCACCACUUUGCACGAAUGGGGCAAAGACGACUCGAAAGUUCUCGACUUUUCCCGGACUGUAGUUUUCUUCAGGUACUUUUUUUGAUUAUGGACAACAUCGCGUUCAAGAAAAUUUCCCACCAAAUAGGGCAACCUGCGCUUGCAGCGGAUGGCGUACUCUUCAGGCGAAUCGCUCAGAAGAAGCCCAUCAUCAUAGGAACGGCACCGGGCACGGAAUCGGAGCGCAGCAUCGAGGUGAGGCUUCUACACCUGUCAAGCGUGAGCACCGAGCAAUGAAGCGAGCGUUCACGCGUCAAAGGCCGACUCUCGGAGAACGAGGAGGUGCAAUGGACACGUGAGAACACCCGAUCGAAGUUACGUGUCGCCGCCACGAAUGGUGUACCGAGGCUUUAUACCAGGUGGAUGAUGAUUGCAAGGGAAACGUUGAUCACGGCUUCUGUCCGUGCAUGAAAUGCGUGACCAAUAGCACGAGGUAGCGAACUCGGGACUUGAACGCUUCGACUGCUGCCAACGGUACCCUAGAGAACGUAUACACCAGUGUACUGAAUGUCUUGAUAAGGGAAAGAAAGAGGAAACAGUCACAAAUAAAGCCCGCAAACCCCGGA